AGCAGCCGCGGUAAUUCCAGCUCCAAUAGCGUAUAUUAAAGUUGUUGCAGUUAAAAAGCUCGUAGCUGAAUUUCGGGGUUAGUAGGUUGGUCAUGCCUCUGGUAUGUACUGGUCUCACUGAUUCCUCCUUCCUGAUGAACCUUAAUGCCAUUAAUUUGGUGUUUUGGGGAAUUUGGACUGUUACUUUGAAAAAAUUAGAGUGUUUAAAGCAAGCUAACGCUUGAAUACAUUAGCAUGGAAUAAUGAAAUAGGACGUUCGAUCCUAUUUUGUUGGUUUCUAGGAUUGACGUAAUGAUUAAUAGGGAUAGUUGGGGGCAUUAGUAUUCAAUUGUCAGAGGUGAAAUUCUUGGAUUUAUUGAAGACUAACUACUGCGAAAGCAUUUGCCAAGGAUGUUUUCAUUAAUCAAGAACGAAAGUUAGGGGAUCGAAGACGAUCAGAUACCGUCGUAGUCUUAACCAUAAACUAUGCCGACUAGGGAUCGGAUGAUGUUAAUUUUUUAAUGACUCAUUCGGCGCCUUACG
rnacentral:rRNA from 1 species